CCUACGGGUGGCAGCAGUGAGGAAUAUUGGUCAAUGGGCGCGAGCCUGAACCAGCCAAGUAGCGUGAAGGAUGACUGCCCUACGGGUUGUAAACUUCUUUUAUAAAGGAAUAAAGUGAGGCACGUGUGCCUUUUUGUAUGUACUUUAUGAAUACGGAUCGGCUAACUCCGUGCCAGCAGCCGCGGUAAUACGGAGGAUCCGAGCGUUGUCCGGAUUUAUUGGGUUUAAAGGGAGCGUGGAUGGGUUGUUAAGUCAGUUGUGAAAGUUUGCGGCACAACCGUAAAAUUGGAAGUGAUACUGGCAGCCUUGAGUACAGUUGAGGUAGGCGGAAUUCGUGGUGUAGCGGGGAAAGGCUUAGAUAUCACGAAGAACUCCGAUUGCGAAGGCAGCUUACUAAACUGCCACUGACAUUGAUGCUCGAAAGUGUGGGUAUCAAACAGGAUUAGAUACCCUGUAGUC
rnacentral:rRNA from 1 species